rnacentral:rRNA from 1 species
AUUGAACGCUGGCGGCAGGCCUAACACAUGCAAGUCGAGCGGGGCGGCGGACGCGUGAGUAAGACCUAGGAAUCUGCCUGGUCGUGGGGGAGGGCGUCCGGAAACGGGCGCUGAUACCGCAUACUCUCAGAUUAGCCGAGGUCGGAAUAGCUAGGUGGGGGGGGAAAGGCCUACCAAGGCGACGAUCCCUAGCUGGUCUGAGAGGAUGACCAGCCACACUGGGACUGAGACACGGUCCAGACUCCUACGUGAGGCAGCAGUGGGGAAUAUUGGACAAUGGGGGAAAGCCUGAUGCAGCCAUGCCGCGUGUAUGAUGAAGGCCUUCGGGUUGUAAAGUACUUUCAGCGGGGAAGCGUUACCCGCAGAAGAAGCACCGGCUAACUCCGUGCCAGCAGCCGCGGUAAUAC